UCCAUGGUGGCCUAGAGGUUAAAGGAUCCAGCAUUGUCAAUGCUGUGGUGCGAGUUUGAUCCCUGCCCUGGGAA
rnacentral:tRNA from 1 species